rnacentral:misc_RNA from 1 species
AACGCACGAGACCUGCGGACCUGCGGAAGGAUCAUUACCGAGUUUACAACUCCCAAACCCAAUGUGAACCAUACCAAACUGUUGCCUCGGCGGGGUCACGCCCCGGGUGCGUCGCAGCCCCGGAACCAGGCGCCCGCCGGAGGGACCAACCAAACUCUUUCUGUAGUCCCCUCGCGGACGUUAUUUCUUACAGCUCUGAGCAAAAAUUCAAAAUGAAUCAAAACUUUUAACAAUGGAUCU